rnacentral:rRNA from 1 species
AUUGAACGCUGGCGGCAUGCCUUACAAAUGCAAGUCGAACGGCAGCGCGGACUUCGGUCUGGCGGCGAGUGGCGAACGGGUGAGUAAUACAUCGGAACGUACCCUGUUGUGGGGGAUAACUAGUCGAAAGAUUAGCUAAUACCGCAUACGACCUGAGGGGGAAAGUGGGGGACCGGAAACGGCCUCAUGCAGCCGGAGCGGCCGAUGUCUGAUUAGCUAGUUGGUGGGGUAAAGGCCCACCAAGGCGACGAUCAGUAGCUGGUCUGAGAGGACGAUCAGCCACACUGGGACUGAGACACGGCCCAGACUCCUACGGGAGGCAGCAGUGGGGAAUUUUGGACAAUGGGGGCAACCCUGAUCCAGCAAUGCCGCGUGUGUGAAGAAGGCCUUCGGGUUGUAAAGCACUUUUGUCCGGAAAGAAAUCGCGCUGGUUAAUACCUGGCGUGGAUGACGGUACCGGAAGAAUAAGCACCGGCUAACUACGUG